rnacentral:lncRNA from 1 species
GCUUCUGGUUAUUAUGCAAGAUGUAUGGAUGGAGGAUGAAGCACAUAGUUGUACUACUACUGAUGAGAGAACCAAUACUGUUCACUCAAUUUUCAUGACAUGCUUCACAUGAUGGUAGAAUAUAGUCGAAUCUAGAUUCUAGAAAGGAAUAAUCAAAAUGCAAUCCUGAGAUCAAAGAGAAAGUAACAUGAAUCCAUAAUCUAAAGCCAUUCCUUGUUAGCUUUUACCUAAAAAAUUUCAUGCAGAUCAAAGUUUUUAGUUCUGUCAUUGCUCUGAUUACCAACUUGUUGAGGAAAAGUCUAUCUAUCAAAUGCAAAGCAGAGAUUCAAGAAUAAGGACGAAAUGCGCAAGCUCCUGGGCUUUAACUCCCAGGUCCUUGUAAAAUACUCAUAGUAGAAUACAAUGUUCUUAAAGCUAGUACUAUCGAAAGUUCAUCUGAAUUAUGAAAAGAAAGAAAUAAAGGAACUAAAAUGAAAAACAAAUGUCUUCCAACAAUCUGGUUACACUUCAUUUUCUAUUUCUUGGAUAAGUUACUCAAUAGGAGACGUGUAAAACAAUCUCAACAAGAAAAGUGUUUGUUUGUAUUUGUUGGAACAAGAUUGGGCAUGUUGACAAUUGUUAGAAAGUGAAGGAUUUGAGUGAGAAAGAAUCUGGGGGAAGGUAAAUUAAAAGGAUUUGAUUCCUAGACUUUGAGACAGUAGCAAGAUUCCGGGUAUCAGUCUCAAUCAGGAUUUCUUAACCGCAUAAUUUUUAACGGUCCUGAUUCAACAACAUAAAUUCACCACCAAUUUGACCAUCAAAUCUAAUCCAUAGAGAGAUGCGUAUCCAACUCCAAAAACUCCUCCACCACCAAAACACUAUCUAACAUUAAAUAUACCUUUAACAAUAUUAAUAAGUACACGCUAAUUACAUCCUAAACACAUCUCCAUACUAAUAAGUACUCACUAAUUACAUCCUAAACACAUCUCCAUAAACAACUAACAAAACAUUUUCUCAGAAAUCAGUUUCCAAGAAAACAACAGUUUGAGGUCAACAACAAUGAAGUUACUAG